rnacentral:rRNA from 1 species
AUUGAACGCUGGCGGCAUGCCUUACACAUGCAAGUCGAACGGCAGCGGGGGAGAAGCUUGCUUUUCCUGCCGGCGAGUGGCGAACGGGUGAGUAAUACAUCGGAACGUGCCCUGUAGUGGGGGAUAACUAGUCGAAAGAUUAGCUAAUACCGCAUACGACCUGAGGGUGAAAGUGGGGGACCGCAAGGCCUCAUGCUAUAGGAGCGGCCGAUGUCUGAUUAGCUAGUUGGUGGGGUAAAGGCCUACCAAGGCGACGAUCAGUAGCUGGUCUGGGAGGACGAUCAGCCACACUGGGACUGAGACACGGCCCAGACUCCUACGGGAGGCAGCAGUGGGGAAUGUUGGACAAUGGGCGAAAGCCUGAUCCAGCAAUGCCGCGUGUGUGAAGAAGGCCUUCGGGUUGUAAAGCACUUUUGUCCGGAAAGAAAUGGCUCUGGUUAAUACCUGGGGUCGAUGACGGUACCGGAAGAAUAAGGACCGGCUAACUAUGUGCCAGCCGCCGCCGUAA